CCUAUAUCUUUCACAAGGUUGACCUCGG
rnacentral:rRNA from 1 species